rnacentral:piRNA from 1 species
UGAUAAACUUCAGGUGAAGUGAUGCAGUC